GGUCAAGUGAAGAAGCGCAUACGGUGGAUGCCUUGGCAGUCAGAGGCGAUGAAAGACGUGGUAGCCUGCGAUAAGCUUUGGGGAGUCGGCAAACAGACUGUGAUCCAGAGAUCUCUGAAUGGGGGAACCCACUCAGCACAAGCUGAGUAUCUUGCACUGAAUACAUAGGUGCAAGAGGCGAACCAGGGGAACUGAAACAUCUAAGUACCCUGAGGAAAAGAAAUCAACCGAGAUUCCCUUAGUAGUGGCGAGCGAACGGGGACCAGCCCUUAAGUUGAUUUGAGAUUAGUGGAACGCUCUGGAAAGUGCGGCCAUAGUGGGUGAUAGCCCCGUACACGAAAAUCUCUUGUCAAUGAAAUCGAGUAGGACGGAGCACGAGAAACUUUGUCUGAACAUGGGGGGACCAUCCUCCAAGGCUAAAUACUACUGACUGACCGAUAGUGAACCAGUACCGUGAGGGAAAGGCGAAAAGAACCCCGGAGAGGGGAGUGAAAUAGAACCUGAAACCGUAUGCGUACAAGCAGUGGGAGCCUACUUUGUUAGGUGACUGCGUACCUUUUGUAUAAUGGGUCAGCGACUUAUAUUCAGUGGCGAGCUUAACCGAAUAGGGGAGGCGUAGCGAAAGCGAGUCUUAAUAGGGCGUUUAGUCGCUGGGUAUAGACCCGAAACCGGGCGAUCUAUCCAUGGGCAGGUUGAAGGUUAGGUAACACUGACUGGAGGACCGAACCGACUACCGUUGAAAAGUUAGCGGAUGACCUGUGGAUCGGAGUGAAAGGCUAAUCAAGCUCGGAGAUAGCUGGUUCUCCUCGAAAGCUAUUUAGGUAGCGCCUCAUGUAUCACUCCAGGGGGUAGAGCACUGUUUCGGCUAGGGGGUCAUCCCGACUUACCAAACCGAUGCAAACUCCGAAUACCUGGAAGUGCCGAGCAUGGGAGACACACGGCGGGUGCUAACGUCCGUCGUGAAAAGGGAAACAACCCAGACCGUCAGCUAAGGUCCCAAAGUCAUGGUUAAGUGGGAAACGAUGUGGGAAGGCUUAGACAGCUAGGAGGUUGGCUUAGAAGCAGCCACCCUUUAAAGAAAGCGUAAUAGCUCACUAGUCGAGUCGGCCUGCGCGGAAGAUGUAACGGGGCUCAAACCAUGCACCGAAGCUACGGGUGUCAUCUUCGAUGACGCGGUAGAGGAGCGUUCUGUAAGCCUGUGAAGGUGAGUUGAGAAGCUUGCUGGAGGUAUCAGAAGUGCGAAUGCUGACAUGAGUAACGACAAUGCGAGUGAAAAACUCGCACGCCGAAAGACCAAGGUUUCCUGCGCAACGUUAAUCGACGCAGGGUUAGUCGGUCCCUAAGGCGAGGCUGAAAAGCGUAGUCGAUGGAAAACAGGUUAAUAUUCCUGUACUUCCAGUUAUUGCGAUGGAGGGACGGAGAAGGUUAGGCCAG
rnacentral:rRNA from 1 species